CGUACACUCCUACGGGAGGCAGCAGUGGGGAAUAUUGGACAAUGGGCGCAAGCCUGAUCCAGCCAUGCCGCGUGAGUGAUGAAGGCCCUAGGGUUGUAAAGCUCUUUCACCGGUGAAGAUAAUGACGGUAACCGGAGAAGAAGCCCCGGCUAACUUCGUGCCAGCAGCCGCGGUAAUACGAAGGGGGCUAGCGUUGUUCGGAUUUACUGGGCGUAAAGCGCACGUAGGCGGACUAUUAAGUCAGGGGUGAAAUCCCGGGGCUCAACCCCGGAACUGCCUUUGAUACUGGUAGUCUUGAGUUCGAGAGAGGUGAGUGGAAUUCCGAGUGUAGAGGUGAAAUUCGUAGAUAUUCGGAGGAACACCAGUGGCGAAGGCGGCUCACUGGCUCGAUACUGACGCUGAGGUGCGAAAGCGUGGGGAGCAAACAGGAUUAGAUACCCGGGUAGUCCCAUGAU
rnacentral:rRNA from 1 species